rnacentral:rRNA from 1 species
AUGAUGGAGAGUUUGAUCCUGGCUCAGGACGAACGCUGGCGGCGUGGAUUAGGCAUGCAAGUCGAACGGUAGGAUCCUUUCGGGGAUCUGAGAGUGGCGAACGGGUG